UACGUAGGGGGCAAGCGUUGUCCGGAUUUAUUGGGCGUAAAGAGCGUGUAGGCGGCCAUGUAGGUCCGUUGUGAAAACUCGAGGCUCAACCUCGAGACGCCGAUGGAAACCAUGUGGCUAGAGUCCGGAAGAGGAGAGUGGAAUUCCUGGUGUAGCGGUGAAAUGCGCAGAUAUCAGGAAGAACACCCGUGGCUAAGGCGGCUCUCUAGUACGGUACUGACGCUGAGACGCGAAAGCGUGGGGAGCAAAC
rnacentral:rRNA from 1 species